GGGACACGUGGUAUCCUGUCUGAAUAUGGGGGGACCAUCCUCCAAGGCUAAAUACUCCUGACUGACCGAUAGUGAACCAGUACCGUGAGGGAAAGGCGAAAAGAACCCCGGCGAGGGGAGUGAAAAAGAACCUGAAACCGUGUACGUACAAGCAGUGGGAGCCUCUUUAUGGGGUGACUGCGUACCUUUUGUAUAAUGGGUCAGCGACUUAUAUUCUGUAGCAAGGUUAACCGAAUAGGGGAGCCGAAGGGAAACCGAGUCUUAACUGGGCGUUAAGUUGCAGGGUAUAGACCCGAAACCCGGUGAUCUAGCCAUGGGCAGGUUGAAGGUUGGGUAACACUAACUGGAGGACCGAACCGACUAAUGUUGAAAAAUUAGCGGAUGACUUGUGGCUGGGGGUGAAAGGCCAAUCAAACCGGGAGAUAGCUGGUUCUCCCCGAAAGCUAUUUAGGUAGCGCCUCGUGAAUUCAUCUCCGGGGGUAGAGCACUGUUUCGGCAAGGGGGUCAUCCCGACUUACCAACCCGAUGCAAACUGCGAAUACCGGAGAAUGUUAUCACGGGAGACACACGGCGGGUGCUAACGUCCGUCGUGAAGAGGGAAACAACCCAGACCGCCAGCUAAGGUCCCAAAGUCAUGGUUAAGUGGGAAACGAUGUGGGAAGGCCCAGACAGCCAGGAUGUUGGCUUAGAAGCAGCCAUCAUUUAAAGAAAGCGUAAUAGCUCACUGGUCGAGUCGGCCUGCGCGGAAGAUGUAACGGGGCUAAACCAUGCACCGAAGCUGCGGCAGCGACACUGUGUGUUGUUGGGUAGGGGAGCGUUCUGUAAGCCUGCGAAGGUGUACUGUGAGGUAUGCUGGAGGUAUCAGAAGUGCGAAUGCUGACAUAAGUAACGAUAAAGCGGGUGAAAAGCCCGCUCGCCGGAAGACCAAGGGUUCCUGUCCAACGUUAAUCGGGGCAGGGUGAGUCGACCCCUAAGGCGA
rnacentral:rRNA from 1 species